AGUGAACGCUGGCGGUAGGCCUAACACAUGCAAGUCGAACGGCAGCACAGUAAGAGCUUGCUCUUACGGGUGGCGAGUGGCGGACGGGUGAGGAAUACAUCGGAAUCUACUUUUUCGUGGGGGAUAACGUAGGGAAACUUACGCUAAUACCGCAUACGACCUACGGGUGAAAGCAGGGGAUCUUCGGACCUUGCGCGAUUGAAUGAGCCGAUGUCGGAUUAGCUAGUUGGCGGGGUAAAGGCCCACCAAGGCGACGAUCCGUAGCUGGUCUGAGAGGAUGGUCAGCGACACUGGAACUGAGACACGGUCCAGACGCCUACGGGAGGCAGCAGUGGGGAAUAUUGGACAAUGGGCGCAAGCCUGAUCCAGCCAUACCGCGUGGGUGAAGAAGGCCUUCGGGUUGUAAAGCCGUUUUGUUGGGAAAGAAAAGCAGCAGGUUAAUACCCCGCUGUUCUGACGGUACCCAAAGAAUAAGCACCGGCUAACUUCGUG
rnacentral:rRNA from 1 species